rnacentral:rRNA from 1 species
UACGAAGGGUGCAAGCGUUACUCGGAAUUACUGGGCGUAAAGCGUGCGUAGGCGGUUUGUUAAGUCUGUCGUGAAAGCCCCGGGCUCAACCUGGGAAUGGCGAUGGAAACUGGCGAGCUAGAGUACGGUAGAGGAGAGUGGAAUUCCCGGUGUAGCAGUGAAAUGCGUAGAGAUCGGGAGGAACAUCAGUGGCGGAGGCGACACACUGGCCCGUAACUGACGCUGAGGCGCGAAAGCGUGGGGAGCAAACAGG